UACGUAGGGGGCAAGCGUUGUCCGGAUUUAUUGGGCGUAAAGAGCGUGUAGGCGGCCAGGUAGGUCAGCUGUGAAAACCCGAGGCUCAACCUCGGGCCUGCAGUCGAUACGGGCAAACUAGAGUACUGCAGGGGAGACUGGAAUUUCUGGUGUAGCGGUGAAAUGCGCAGAUAUCAGGAGGAACACCGGUGGCGAAGGCGGGUCUCUGGGCAGUAACUGACGCUGAGGAGCGAAAGCGUGGGGAGCGAACAGG
rnacentral:rRNA from 1 species